rnacentral:rRNA from 1 species
CACGUAGGGCGCGAGCGUUGUCCGGAAUUAUUGGGCGUAAAGAGCUCGUAGGCGGUGUGUCACGUCGGCCGUGAAAACCUGGGGCUUAACUCUGGGCGUGCGGUCGAUACGGGCAUCACUAGAGUUCGGCAGGGGAGACUGGAAUUCCUGGUGUAGCGGUGAAAUGCGCAGAUAUCAGGAGGAACACCUGUGGUGUAGACAGCUUACUGGACCACUUCUGACGCUGAGACACGAAAGCGUGGGUAGCAAACAGG